GACGAACGCUGGCGGCGUGCUUAACACAUGCAAGUCGAACGAAGUGGCGAACGGGUGAGUAACGCGUAAUCAACCUGCCCUUCAGAGGGGGACAACAGUUGGAAACGACUGCUAAUACCGCAUACUGAAGUAGGGGAUUGCGUCGACUUGGGUAGUUGGAGGGGUAACGGCCCACCAAUGCGAUGAACAGUAGCCUGUCUGAGAGGAGGAACGGCCAAAUUGGGACUGCGACACGGCCCAGACUCCUACGGUGUGCAGCAGUGGUGAAUCUUCCGCAAUGGACGAAAGUCUGACGGAGCAACGCCGCGUGAGUGAUUACGGCCUUCGGGUUGUAAAGCUCUGUUAAUCGGGACGCGGUACCGGAAUAGAAAGCCACGGCUAACUACGUGCCAGCAGCCGCGGUAAUAC
rnacentral:rRNA from 1 species